rnacentral:lncRNA from 1 species
UUUUUUAAUAAAGGGGGGGGGGGGGAGCUAUUAACCCACUCUGCUAGGGUUUCAUUUAGCUCAUAGUCGUCGAACCACCUUCAUGCUUGGUGGCUGACGGCGCACGAAUAGCGACCGGAUCUUGUCGCUGGAGGCCACAACUAUAGAGAUCUAGUAAGUUUUCUCUUUCUCUUUUUCUUAUUUUAGAAAAAAAGGCUUCAAAUCCUACACUAUUCUUUAAAAAAAACAAGCAAAAUUCAAAGAAUGAAAAAGAACUUAACAUCGUUCGACCCUCGUCCACAUCUCCCUGCUUUUGAGAUAUUUGGACUCUCAUCGACGUCCAUUCAGGUAUUAUUUUCUCAUUUUUUUAUUCUAAAAUCGCAAAACAAAUCAAAGGAAACAAAAAUAAAUAGAUAAACAGAUUUUGAAAUCACCUUUUAAUUUCUUGUUCCCUUUUUUUUAGUAUUUCAAUCUCUGUGUGUAAAAAAACAUUGUCUUGGUUUCGGGUUUUUAUAUCCGAAAAAUAAUACAUCUUAAUUUUUCAUUUUCUUUGCGCGUUCCUUCUGUUCUGUCUUCAUUUUCCUUUUGUUCUGCUGGCUUUCUUCUUUUUGUGUGUUUGCAGGUCUAUGGAGGAGGUCAACGGGGCAGAGGCUUCCUUUUUGGUGCAAAGGACGGGUAGAGCCGUCCCUCGAGCGAUGUUUGCACUGAGAACGCACAUGGCUGGCAGAAGGAAGGCGCGGCGCUAGGGUUUCGGUUGGCUGAACUUGGUUUAGGCAUCGGUCCUAUCGGGCUUAGGUCUUUCUUUUAAUUUUGGGCCUAUUAGGUUGUAAUUUUGGCUGAGUUUAAUUGGGUUUGAUGUUUGGGUUGAUGUAAUGGGUUUGGAUUGGCCUUUUAAUGGGCUUAUUAUUUGGUUUAUUUAUGGCUUAGUCGGCCGGGCAAAAUUUGGGUUGUACACAUGUUAUUAAUUGAAUUGUUGUAUAUAUAUGACUUGUAUUAUAAGUUUUGAUAUGUAAGUGGACUAACCUAUUGGUUGUAUUUGUUGAUAUGCAUAUGAUACUACAAAGUAUACCAAUGGAUGCCAUAUUGAAUGCCA